rnacentral:rRNA from 1 species
GACGAACCGUGCAAACGUUGUUCGGAAUCACUGGGCUUAAAGGGCGCGUAGGCGGUCGAUCAAGUCCGGGGUGAAAUCUUUCGGCUUAACCGGAAAAGUGCCUUGGAUACUGAUCGGCUGGAGGGAGGUAGGGGCAGCUGGAACUUCCAGUGGAGCGGUGAAAUGCGUUGAUAUUGGAAGGAACGCCGGUGGCGAAAGCGAGCUGCUGGACCUCUUCUGACGCUGAGGCGCGAAAGCUAGGGGAGCAAACGGG